rnacentral:rRNA from 1 species
UACGUAGGUGGCAAGCGUUAUCCGGAUUUACUGGGUGUAAAGGGAGCGUAGGCGGUUCAGCAAGUCAGAAGUGAAAGCCCGGGGCUCAACUCCGGGACUGCUUUUGAAACUGUUGAACUAGAUUGCAGGAGAGGUAAGUGGAAUUCCUAGUGUAGCGGUGAAAUGCGUAGAUAUUAGGAGGAACACCAGUGGCGAAGGCGGCUUACUGGACUGUAAAUGACGCUGAGGCUCGAAAGCGUGGGGAGCAAACAGG